GUACUCAGUUCUAUAGAUUGCUUAACUGGCCUACCUUAAGUGUACAUCUAUUAGAGGGAAACAAAUAGAAUGUUAUAUAUACUGAUUCUUGAUAUUGGGAGUACUAAUAGUAUACGAUCUCUUCCACAGUGAAGUGGAAACUCCUAAAGCACUUUUUACAUCCAUGGCCAAGAGUCCAGAGAUUGCUGUUAUUCCUCUAAUUGCACUGUAUGUGGUAUCAUAUUAUUCCAGAAUAUCAUGAAAAAUAGCUUUCAC
rnacentral:lncRNA from 1 species